AUUCGCUUAUUUUGCUGAAACUGAAAACUUUUUGCUGAAAGUACUAUUGAUAAAAGUAAAAGUUAGCGGAAACAUUGGGACCCAUAAAUAAUUCUAAAAAGUGCAGUGAGACUCAUGAAUAGUAGCAAAAAUAAGCUGAAUAGUAAAAUAAGUUGGCAAAAAUAAUUUUUCCCAAACGCACACGCAUUGUAGCCUCCAAAGGCAAUUCAAUAUUUAUUUUAUUAUUAAUAAAAUAUAGACUUUUUGUCAAAUUCUUUCUCUGAUGGAUUCAUGUUUAUCACCUUGUGAAUUCAAGGAACCCUCAUGGAUUCGAGGUUUACUACUUAGAAACUAAUAGUUUAGUUUAUGUCUAUCAAAGAGAGCAUUGUGUGCGCUCUUUUUAGGCUUCUGCGACAUUAGUUGGUAUCAGAGCCUUGACAUACCUUGGUCUGAUGGCUAACCGGUGAGAUAGUGACCACCACAACAACGACGACAGCAACGAUGUCAACAACACAGUCCUCACUAGGGUUGAGUUUCUCAAGUUUUGUGAAGAGGCUUGUGAUGAGAAUCAACAAUUUCGUGAAAAGAGUCAACAAAUUAUAGGUGAAAUUAAGCAAAUGAUUGCUACUUUUCUUGCUAGGAAAUCAUCUCACAACAACAAUGAUCAAUAUAUUCAAAGACGCACUCCUAACUACAAGAAAAUUUCAUUAUUUGAUGGAGAUAUGUGUAAGUUGGAUUUUAUUGAUUGGCUUCCUGAUUUGGAAGAGUAUUUUAAUUUUUGGAAGAUUUGUGAUGAAGAAAGAGUACGGCUUGCAUCUAAUAAAUUGGACGAUGAAGCAGAGGAAUGGUGGGAAGACAUUCAAAUUGAUAGAAAGAGGUGAGGUAAGCAUCCAAUCUGCUCUUGACAAGGAAUGAAAAAGGUAUUAAUUGAUUUAUGUUUCCUAAUGCCUGUUAUGAUAUGCUAGAUUAUACAAGUGUUGAUUAUAAAUCUAUAUAUUCAUAUGAAAAGCAAUAUGUUCAAAACAUGACAGGUCAACAACAACUUAUUUAGCUGUUAUGAUAUGCUAGACUUGGGCAUCUUACUUCUCUUGAGAUACUAACAGAGUUUGCUGUGAGGCAAGAGGAUUUGAAGGCUAGCUCAUGUAAUUGGCAUAAGAAAAAAUAGGCUAGGUUUGGUGGUGGGCUAAGUGAAUUGAAGGAGCUGAGCAAUUUGGGAGGAAGUCUAGUCAUUAAAAGUUUGGGGCAUGGAGAAGAUGACAUGGUAGAAUGUAAAGCCACAAAUAUGAAGGACAAACAACAUCUUCAAGAGCUGAGAUUACAGUGGGAUUACAAGCGGGAUGAUGGAGAAACCGAAUGUUACGAUGAAAUGUCACUGAACGGCCUCCAGCCACAUCCAAAUCUCAAAGGGUUGGAAUUGUGGAAUUAUAUGGGUAUGAGAAUUCCAAGUUAGGUCUCUUCUCUCACUAAUCUUGUUGAUUUUGAAUUAGUGGGAAAUAGGAGAUUGCAGCACCUCCCACCGUUAAAUCAACUCCCUUUUCUCAAGUUUGUCUAUCUUGAAUAUAUGGAAGCGCUUGAAUACAUAUGGAUAGAUGAAGAGAGUGUUAGUAACAUGUUGGGUGGUUCCUCUUCUUCUUCUUCUUGAAAAACACCAUUCUUCCCAUCCUUAUCUUUUCUAAAUAUUAGGGGUUGCCCAAAACUGAAGGGAUGGUGGAGAAAUUCAGAUGAUGAUGAUGAUGAGCCACACCAUCUCUUACUUCCAUCAUUUCCUCCUUCUCUUUUGGAAUUAUAUAUUUGGGGAUGCCCUAACUUGACUUCCAUGCCCCCAUUUCCAUAUUUGAAAGAAAUGUUAUUAUUGUGUGGGUGUAGCUGGAAGUUAUUAGAGCAGACAAUGAAAAUGGGAGCAGCAACCACAUCAACCUACUUUCCUCUCUCUCAAUUACAGCAAUUACACUUAUCUAAGAUGAACGAGUUUGAAUCUCUUCUAGAGGAGGGGCUGCGGAACCUCGUUUCUCUCCGGGAACUCAAUAUACAAAGCUGCGAUGGACUGGUUUUUCUCCCUUGGAUAGGCAGCCUUACAUCACUACAAACCCUUGAAAUCUGGGGAUGUCACAAUCUGAUGUCACUUCCUCAAGAGAUUCGCAAUCUCACCUCUUUAAAAAAGUUGAAAAUUUCUGAUUGUCUCCUCUUAGGGCAAAAGGGUGAAGAUUGGUCCUUCAUUGCCCAUUUCCCAGUCGUAGAUGUGGAUUUUCAGAACCAGCAAGAAGAAACAAUUUCUUCAGAAUUCGAGUCAGAGUCAAGAGUCAAUUUGUCAAGAAGAGGACUUGAUUGAGCACCUAGCACUGUAGGAAACAAUUUCUUUUCCAGAACCAACUGAGGCAAAGAACAAGAUUGGGUACAAAAUUCGAAACCUAUUCAAAAACUGCAAUUGUGCAACAGGUCAAGAACUCAAUGAAUCAUAGCAAAUUUCCUAGAACUUUGAAGGGAGGACUUGACCAGGCAACUAAAACUGCUGGAAUUAGCUUACUAAACCGAAUUGUAGCAAAUUUGGUAGAAUUUUGAAGGGAGGAACAAGACCAGGCAACUAACACUCCAAGGAAUCAGCUUACUAUGUAUUUUGGUGGUUUACUUUUUUCUUUUUUGAGAAUAUAUUUUUGCUUUCUCACAUGUUGGUGUGAAGACUUGAUUUUUUUUUAAGUCAGAAAAAAAACAUAAGAACGACUGAACAGAGUCUAAUUUUGCGUACAUGCACAAAUUUUAAGGUAGAUUUGAUUGAAUUGAAUUCUUAUUUGUUACUCAAUUAAAUAUUACUAAUUAAGGUUUUUCAUUUCACUUCCAAUUAAGACUUGAGGAUAACAUCAUUGUUCUUUUCAUUUUCUGUCUUUGAAAUUUUGUCUAUUUUUCUACCUCCUAAAGAAAUAGCCUCUGCUUCUUAACUUUUGGUCGUGCAGACUCUGUUCGAACAUUGGGCAACAUUACACAUGUUCUUUUUUAUAAUCACUGGAAAGCAAUGGGGACAAUCUACAUAACGGAUGGAUAGAGUGUAUGGAGUUUUUAGGCCGAAAAGAGGUAAAGGGGCAAGGUUGGUUGAGCUGUGAAGGGUAGGAGAGGCAGUUUGAUUAAAUUUUCCAAAGGCGGAGUAAUUUGCUGCAAAGUGAUGCAGAGAUCUUGCCACACCUUCUACUGUUGGAGCCUGUUCCUCAGAUCCAAAUAUUUUGAAGACUGACUUUGAAGCCAAAGAAGAAUGAGAGAAUGACUGAAUGAGUCUAAUUUGUGAUUAAUGCACAAAUUCAAAGGUUGUUGUGCUCAAAACAAAACCCAAGAUUAAGAACUUUUGGUUUUUCCAAAGACUCUAAUUGAAUAUCGAGCAACAUUGCUAAUCUUCUUUUCUCUAAUCACUGCAAAGAACCAGCAUGCUGGCCCCCCACAUGUGUAUGGGGGAUAGAGCACAUGAAAAUUUUAAGCCAUAAAGAGGUAGAACGAAUAAGGAUGGUUGAGACAUGACAGGUAAGAGAAGCAGUUUGAUUAAAUAUCCUAAAGAUGGAUUAAUUCACUGUAAAGCAAUGCAGAGGUAAGCAAAUUCUAGCAUUUGAACUAUUCUUACCUUAUCAUUUUUGCCAAAAGAUCAUAUAGGAGCCAAUACGAAAAUUCUUCUUGUAGAUCAUUUGGAAUGGUGAAUUAAAUACAUUGUGCCACACAUUGAAUAAAAUAAUGGUUUAAUUGGCUGAUUCUAUAUGUUUUUGGGUUUUUGAAUAUAUCUAUGGGUUGUUAUCUAGUACUAAUCUCACCAAGGGAGGGGUAUCUUGAUACAGUCCUCCUCGUUAGAACUUGCCCUCAAGUAUACUCUUUUCUAAUACUAAAAGACAUGCACGCAUUUCCUACAAAAAUGAGCGGAAGUUGUUUCUAAUUUUUUUUUUUAAUAUUUUAUUUUAUAGUUUUUUAAAGAUGAUGCUAUUUGAAUUGACGGUGGUAUCUUUUGUAAUUAUAUUUAGAGAUCCAUACUGUGUGGCAAUUACGCAUUUUAGACAAGUUCUAUAUGUCAGCCUUUUUUGUGAUUUGAAAGCUCAAAUUAAGGUCCACUAUAUGAUUAAUCAAUCAAUUCAAAGGAAAGGGCACUAGUGCCAUCAGAUUAACAUCUUUUUGUUGAAGAAAUAUACAUAUGAUUCUGUAGUUUACUAAUUAAGCUGCACCCUUCACAAGUUAUCAAAUGUAAUUUUGUUCCUUUUUUUUCCCUUUCUCUGUUUGCCUCUUUAAGGUUUUUAAAAAAAUAUAUAUUUAUAAUAAAACUCUGUAGUAUAUUUGUAGAACGGAUUGCAACACUAAACUAUAGGUCUUAAGUAUUGAUGCUAUUCAUCAUGUGCAUACUAUAGUCCUACAACAAGGCAGUGAUAUAUAUCCAUUUCACAACACUCUCUUCUAUUGCACUUUUAUUUUGCAUCUGAUAUCUCCAUGUCCUUUUAUUUGUUACUUUUCUUCAAAACUGUAUCUCAUACUUUAUUGACAGGCAUUUGCAUUUGGUUUUUGUAUUAAGUAAUAUAUAAACCAAGUGAUAUCUGGCACUUGUUGACCUUGAGUUACAAUUUUUCAAGAGGGUGAAUCCUGAGUACAAUUCACAGGGAAAUAGCUUGGAGCUAUUAUCCAUGUAAGCUAUCAUUAAUAUUUUACUGAAAAUAGGUCACUAAUUAUCAUCUUGUAUGUAGUCCGUGACAAGAGUUCAUAGAAUAACUUUGGUUUUUCAUUUUUUUCCUUAAUUUUGGUUUCUAUAUCUUAGUGUGCAUCAAAAGCACAAAUAUGCAUUAGCGUUUAAAGUCACAAAAUUCUAGGGACAGCGUAAUUUUAUGCUUCAUUCGAUUGGCAAGAAAGACCAAGAACAGCCAAUAUUGUUUCAACAACUUUUGGUAUAUGGUGGACAAAACUACUUGAUUUGGCUUAAUACAAUUUUUUUUAAUAAGUAAACAUAUUGUUAAAAGGGCGCAAAAUGGGGGCACAGCCCUAGUACACCAGAUCUAUACAAGAGAUUUAAUUUUCUUAAUUUAAUUAUUUAGUUCAAAUCAUGUGGGAAUUUUGUAUUUCUAAAAUGUGUGAUGAAUACAUUGCCAAUUUUUCUUACUCCAACUAGCAGAAACAUGAAUUAAGGAGGUGUAAUGGAUCAUAAGAUUGCUGGUGCCCCAAAUAUUCUAUCUAGGUCCAGAAGGAUUUCACCCCAUUAGCCACACAAGUUCUUGAAUCCUUCGACCUCUGCCUCAUAUAUUAUUGAACCACAUCUUGAUCAGUUGUGCUCUCUUUUUAUUGUUUUCUUUCAAGAGCAUCUCAUUUUAUUGAAUUUCUAAAUUAUUUGUUUCUGUAUAUAAAAUAGAGGAUUGUGGCAUUGAAACCAAAAGGAUUUUCAAAGAUGGUUCUACCAAAAAAAAAAAGCAUCAUCUUUCAAUAGAUUAAGUAAUACGCCUCUCACUUCCUUAAUUUAGUAUCAUAUAUAUGAUAAUUUUUGUAACAGUUUUUUCUUUUCAAAAAUUUGCUCGCAAAAUUAUUUUUGUAAUAUUAAUAUUUUUUAACUAGUGAAUUCUUAAUUUUGUAGUUCUCUUUUUUUGUGCUGUUUGGAGCUCAUUGUUAUGUACAAUUGACAAUUUCAUGUGCAUGGCAAAAUUGUGCAUGCUCCAUUGAUGGCUUUUGAGACUUCCACAACUAAGAACCUCUUCAUGUGGAUGGAGGUCACUGUGUCGUCUUUUAAGUAAGUGUGAAGUGUGUAGAUGAUCCAUAUGUGUGUAUUUUAGAGAAAAGGGAAAAUGAGCAUUUUCAAUAAGGGCCUAGAAUUAGGGAGAGAAAGAUUACGUCCCUCGUUGACUUCCAUUAGGAUGAAAUUCCUUAUUCUUUUAUUUACCAAGGAAGAUUUGGCAACCAAAGCUUUGUCCUACCAUAUGCUCUUUACAAGCAAGUUUUUAGAAGGUAUGAGAACUUGCAUUUGGAUUAAAAUAAAAGCUGGUAUGGUACUUUCAUAUUCCUCAAAACAAUUGAAAUUCAAUUCAACUUUAAGAAAUAGAACUCUGAAGCUCAACUUCCCUCCCCUGCCCCUUGUUGGUAGGGGUUAUGUUGAUGAGGAUUAUUAUGUUCCCUGCAUUUAGUCAGGAUGUUAUGCCCUUCCUAGAUUUUAGAUUCUUACCACUUGAAGUAUGAGUGAAUGCCUUCAAAAUUUCUAAAGGGUAGGUUGUCCGUUGUCUCAUGUAUGGUUUUAACCGCUUGACUGAAGAUCAACUUUGUGAAUAGUUUUCACAAUUUAUUUUUUACAUAUUUAUUUUGGCCCUAGAGCUUGAUAUUUACAAAUUUUACACAUUUUAAAGCUUGAUUUAAUCCAUGAUAUUAUUCUGGUAAUGUUCUACUUGCUACUGCUAGCUAGGUUUGUUGUAUUUUUAAAUCACAAAUACUUUGUCUUUAGAGCAAAAUUUACUCUUUUUUUUAAUAUUAAUUAUCAGAUUCAAGUAGUUCUGUUUCAUACUUCCUUGAAGAAGGUAGGAAAAAAAAAAUUAUAAGUGCAAUGCUGAAAUAUCAAAUGUGUAUUUCUGCUCAACAACAAUAUCUAUUGAGAAUUGUUUUGUUUAACUGCUCUCAUUUUGGCCAGCAUAGCCAUAGAUUAUCUCAUGCUUGUCUUAUUGAUUUAUUUAUUUUUCUUCCUUGUUGAUGACCGUUGCAUUAUGCUUUGUAGUUAAGAUGGUAAGAGCCUUUAUCCUCAUUUUGCAGAAUAUUUGCCUCAAUGUCUUGAGCCAUUGUUUUGGGUAUAAUAGAGAGGCAAAUAGAGCUAUUGUUUCCCCUACAGAUGAUAGUUCCACUAAGCAUGCAACCUGACUCAUAACUCCUAAUCUGUGAGACUUGAGCCUAUAUGUUUGUUUGUGGUAUGUCAGCCAUUAUACGACCGUGUAGUUCCCUGUUGAAUGGUUGUCAAACGGUGACUACACAGCAGUAAGCAAAAAAAGUCUGGAAUCUAGCUAUUACAAAAAAGAUGUUUAAGAUCACAUAAUGAUGUGGACUGGUCAUAUUUGUUCCUUUGGGGAAGUAUUAGUCAUCUUCAACAGUUUUAGUAGAGAAAUGAGGACCAUUGAGUAGAGUCAUGUCAACCGGAAUGCUGAAAUCACAAUUCUCAACUUGUUGAAUACUGUUGCCAACUAGACCAUCAAGUAUUCGUAUUUCAUGACUUCAAAUUUUAUGAUUUGGGAGGCCAACUUUGUGUGAGCUUUUGGUGGAUCAACUUAUUGGGUUCCUUUUGCAGUAACUAGGGUGCUCCUUGUACUUGUAUACAAGUUAUGUUUGGAGGUUCUUUUUUAUAUUAAUUUUCUUUUUCUUAAGGAGAUGGAAACUUUGAAAAGAAAU